UGUUACCCAAUUAUCGCCCAAUUUAUAAAAUGUGGUCGAGAUAAUUUUCUAUUGCGUAAAUGGACUUUCAAAUCAAUAAACCCUGUUAAAUAGAAUUUUGCUACCUAGCGGUUUUGGUCAUUAAAGCACCUGUAAUUUUAGCCUCCAUGGAAAGCACCUGUAAUCUUAUCCUCCAUGGGCCCCUGUAAACAUUUACGUACCGUCAAAUCUCCUGUUGUGGUAUGAUGUUUCUUCGGAAUUAAAGGCCAUUUGUGCUCUGUCGUCUCCGAGAUGACAUUUUGAAUGGAUUCCGAAUAGGCAUUGAUUUACCCGGACUAGGGAAGGUGAGGAUGAAGCUAAAGGAUCUAUUUGGUUAGUGAUAGAGGAGAUAUGAAUUGAUGUUACUGUGACAAAGUAGAGCAUGGGAGCACUAAAGUUUUGAGAUAAUGGUGGCUGUUGAAGAAUAACUAGAAUGUUAAAUAUGCCAAUUCAAACGUUCAAUGUAUUUCAACUAUUAAGAGUAGUUAACAGUAAAGCAGAAAGCAAAAUGAGAUGAAUCUAUCACGCAUAAUCAUGUUAUGAAUAGUCAAUUGACAAGGUUUUUUUCAAUAUUGUUUCAUGAUGUUUACAAGA